rnacentral:rRNA from 1 species
UACGUAGGGCGCAAGCGUUGUCCGGAAUCAUUGGGCGUAAAGAGCUCGUAGGCGGCCUGUCGCGUCUGCUGUGAAAUCCCCGGGGCUUAACCCCCGGGCGUGCAGUGGAUACGGGGCUGGCUGGAGGCAGGCAGGGGGAGAACGGAAUUCCCGGUGUAGCGGUGAAAUGCGCAGAUAUCGGGAGGAACACCUGCGGCGAAGGCGGGUUGCUGGGCUGACACUGAGCUGAUGCGCGAAAGCCAGGGGGAGCGAACGGG